rnacentral:rRNA from 1 species
GUGGGGAAUAUUGGACAAUGGGCGAAAGCCUGAUCCAGCCAUGCCGCGUGAGUGAUGAAGGCCUUAGGGUUGUAAAGCUCUUUCAGUAGGGAAGAUAAUGACGGUACCUACAGAAGAAGCCCCGGCUAACUUCGUGCCAGCAGCCGCGGUAAUACGAAGGGGGCUAGCGUUGUUCGGAUUUACUGGGCGUAAAGCGCACGUAGGCGGAUCGUUAAGUCGGGGGUGAAAUCCUGGAGCUCAACUCCAGAACUGCCUUCGAUACUGGCGAUCUUGAGUCCGGAAGAGGUGAGUGGAACUCCUAGUGUAGAGGUGGAAUUCGUAGAUAUUAGGAAGAACACCAGUGGCGAAGGCGGCUCACUGGUCCGGUACUGACGCUGAGGUGCGAAAGCGUGGGGAGCAAACAGGAUUAGAUACCCCAGUAGUCC